rnacentral:tRNA from 1 species
GUGGCUUUGGUGCUGUUUGGGCAAAUGUACGCUAGACUUAGGAUCUAGUGCCUCACGGUGUGGGAGUUCGAGUCUCCCCGCCCGUA